rnacentral:rRNA from 1 species
UACAGAGGGUGCGAGCGUUAAUCGGAAUUACUGGGCGUAAAGCGCGCGUAGACGGUUUUGUAAGUCAGAUGUGAAAUCCCUGGGCUCAACCUGGGAACUGCAUUUGAGACUGCAUGGCUAGAGUAUCGAAGAGGGAAGUGGAAUUCCCAGUGUAGCGGUGAAAUGCGUAGAGACUGGGAAGAACACCAGUGGCGAAGGCGGCUACCUGGACAGGUACUGACGCUGAAGCGCGAAAGCUAGGGGAGCAAACAGG